UUCUGGCCCUGCCAGUGUCUCCGCCGGUUGAAAGCGCGUGUCUGCGUCGGGUUCUGUUGGAGUGCGUUCGGUGUGCCGUGGGUCCGCGCUGCUUCCACCCAACUUCCUGUUAGAGUUUCUCUCCUGUCACAAUGGCAUGGUCUCGCCUCACUGCGACCUCUGCUUCCUGGGUUCAAGGAUUCUCCUGCCUCAGUCUCCCAAGUAGGACCCACCCGAGGACGGGUCACCAUGGCUUUGGAGCACCUGGUAGUGUGGCAUGUCCACAGUGAAGACCAGAGUUUCGUUGUCCUUAAGACUGACCUGGGGAGACGUGGCUGCAGGCCAUUGAGGAAGCCUUGUCGCCUUGCUAAUUUGUAACCUCCCACUUCAACAGUGAGAAACCUGGUUCCCACCAUCUGCGACUUAAUGUAAGUCAUUGUUUUAUUCCAGAUACAGACACUGUGGUUUUACAGUUGUUC
rnacentral:lncRNA from 10 species